GUGCUCACUUUGGCAGCACAUUCACAAAAAUUAGAACAGUAGAGAGAAGCUUGGCAUGGCCCCUGUGCAAGAAUAUCAUAUGAAUUUAUGAAGUAAUCCAUAUUGUU
rnacentral:snRNA from 1 species